UGGGGAAUAUUGCACAAUGGGCGCAAGCCUGAUGCAGCCAUGCCGCGUGUAUGAAGAAGGCCUUCGGGUUGUAAAGUACUUUCAGCGGGGAUGAAGGGAGUAAAGUUAAUACCUUUGCUCAUUGACGUUACCCGCAGAAGAAGCACCGGCUAACUCCGUGCCAGCAGCCGCGGUAAUACGGAGGGUGCAAGCGUUAAUCGGAAUUACUGGGCGUAAAGCGCACGCAGGCGGAUUGUUAAGUCAGAUGUGAAAUCCCCGGGCCCAACCUGGGAACUGCAUCUGAUACUGGCAAGCUUGAGUCUCGUAGAGGGGGGUAGAAUUCCAGGUGUAGCGGUGAAAUGCGUAGAGAUCUGGAGGAAUGCCGGUGGCGAAGGCGGCCCCCUGGACGAAGACUGACGCGCAGGUGCGAAAGCGUGGGGAGCAAACA
rnacentral:rRNA from 1 species